CCAAGCCCUACUCAAGGGCCAGUUUUAUUUGCAACCGCGGGAAACAAAGCCCCCAUGACGCCGUCUUUUCAGGCCUUCAGGAAUGGCCGAAAUUCCGAAAUUUGUGGAGGACUCUACCUGGCCCUCGUCGUCUCAGUGGCCGGUCAAGGGCAAUCAAAGGGUGUUUUCGGCUCCGUAGGGAUACCUUCUACCCCAAUAUGAUAUUAGUUUGAGGAUGAGCUGCGUGAAGCGAAGUUACAGGGCUGAUGUUUGUUGGACGUCGUCAUUUCCAUUUGCAUUCAUCAAUCAUUGGGCUCGAAAGAACUGGCUGAUGUCAUGGAGAACGUGUGCAGCAUACCUUUCUGAACCCCGACAGACAUGUGUCGGUCAACCAUUGACAUUAUAGCAAUGUAUGCAUGGCAGCAAUGUUUAUCAGCUCAGCCGAAUGUCUAUAUGUUUCCACCACGUCGAUCAGGAAGGGUGUCUGGUUCUUGCCUCUGCCGCAGAAGAUUCCAUCGCUGCUCCAGGAUUGAGUUGUAGAGGAACUGCCGCAUGUCCGACCCAUCUCGGUGAAGCACGAUGCCGUGAUUGAUCAGUGAUGGUGAUGAUGGCCUGUACCUGGUGGUCUGUGCUGGCUGGUGCACGCUACCCUAUCCACAAGUUGCCUGUCAGGAUGUGCAGCUAGGCAUUGUAACAUGUGCUGCAAUACCAACCUUCUGGUGUCACCUCUAUCUGGAAGUUGACUUGCAGAUACUACUGUAUCGGAGAACAAGUUUGGCGAGUCCCGCCGUGGCUGUUUUGUGAUCGCUGUUGACGCAUUCCACAUGCUAGUCUAUCAUGUAGCUACUAAGAAUUAGCAUGGCGCUUUGGCAUUUGGGAUACGUGGCAGUGCAUGUCACCCUCACAGUCGUCAGCACUGCACAGUGGCUUCGCCGGUUGGCCGGCUACUCUUCGCUGCCGGCCAUUUCGCUAUACCGUUAUCAGGCUUUAUGCGAGGCCAGCUUAUACAUACAUUAUGCUGUUGACGGCUUUCUGGCUUCGCAGUCUUGUACAGUUUGUGGAUGUGUAAACUGGUAUGGCUCUUCACAUAUUGCGCGUUCCGGGCCACAUUGCUGACAUUGCCGCAUGUGUUCGUCCCAUUUCUAUUAUCCAAGUAAGUGUUUAUUUUCAUUCCUUGUUAUGGUGGUAUCAUGGUGGUAUAGUUUCCAGCCUCCACCCACUGUUUCUGAUUUCGGCUGUGUUGCAGUAGCUCGCCAGUAUGAUAAUCAUUAUGACUAUAUGACGCGAAUUUCUAAUAAAAUAUGACUGCUGAAAACCUGGCGAGAACAGACUAACUCGAUAACUGGCACUAAAAAGAAUCCUCUCACCGAUACAUCUAAGCAAUAUCUGUGCACACAUGCAAAAAGAAUUGCAAUCGGUUAGUGCCAAACAAUGCGGCACGAAAUCUGCGG